rnacentral:rRNA from 1 species
GACGAACGCUGGCGGCGUGCUUAACACAUGCAAGUCGAACGGAAAGGCCCUGCUUUUGUGGGGUGCUCGAGUGGCGAACGGGUGAGUAACACGUGAGUAACCUGCCCUUGACUUUGGGAUAACUUCAGGAAACUGGGGCUAAUACCGGAUAGGAGCUCCUGCUGCAUGGUGGGGGUUGGAAAGUUUCGGCGGUUGGGGAUGGACUCGCGGCUUAUCAGCUUGUUGGUGGGGUAGUGGCUUACCAAGGCUUUGACGGGUAGCCGGCCUGAGAGGGUGACCGGCCACAUUGGGACUGAGAUACGGCCAAGACUCCUACGGGAGGCAGCAGUGGGGAAUAUUGCAAAAGGGGCGGAAGCCGGAUGCAGCAACGCCGCGUGCGGGAUGACGGCCUUCGGGUUGUAAACCGCUUUCGCCUGUGACGAAGCGUGAGUGACGGUAAUGGGUAAAGAAGCACCGGCUAACUACGUG